CUCCUACGGGGGGCAGCAGUGGGGAAUAUUGCGCAAUGGGCGAAAGCCUGACGCAGCGACGCCGCGUGAGGGAUGAAGGUCUUCGGAUCGUAAACCUCUGUCAGCAGGGAAGAACGGUCACUGUGCUAAUCAGCAGUGAAUUGACGGUACCUGCAAAGGAAGCACCGGCUAACUCCGUGCCAGCAGCCGCGGUAAUACGGAGGGUGCGAGCGUUAAUCGGAAUUACUGGGCGUAAAGCGCUCGUAGGCGGUAUGUCAAGUCAGCGGUAAAAAUGCGGUGCUCAACGCCGUACAGCCGUUGAAACU
rnacentral:rRNA from 1 species